GUUUAAAAUCCAAAGUGAAGGUGAAACCCCUAAUCUUUUCUAGAAUCCAAAUCUUAAUUUCUCUCACUCAUUGCGGCUCCGAUAAUCUAACAUCUCAAACAAAACACCCUUGUCACUCUCGUUUCUCUCAAGCCAUGCUCCUCUUCCUCGGCUCCAACUUUUUUCUCAGAGGCUGCUCCGCCGGGAUGGCCUCUCCAAGAUGUCCCUUCGCGUCGCCGUGGUCAAGCUCAUCCUCGAUCGCCGGUGAGACAGCCAUGGUUUCCGAGCUCAAGAUCUUCGUGGAUGGUCGGCAGUGUUCAUUCUCUUCUGCGGAAAACAGAGUCAAGUGUGGUCUCAUCAAGAGAGAACGUGGCAAGCUUUCCCCGUCUGAUCUCUAAGCAUCUCUACUCUUGAACAACUCAAGAACUAUGCAUCUGACAGUAGCAUAUCUCUCUUUCUUAUCUGAGUUUUUAUUUUGAAAUUUGAUUUAUUUUGAGAUUCAUACUUAGUUUAUGUUAUUUUCACCCUCUGGCUAUUCAAAGUUUGAAUCUUUUGUGGAUCAGAUUUAAUUUUCAAUGAUAUUUCAUAUUUGGAUUUAGAUAUGUAAAAGGCAACGCUAUUGGUUUUAUAUUUUGCUUGUAAACAGACCAAGUAGCAGCAAAUGUAAUUUUUUUUGUAAGUGUGUUUGCAUGUUUGGUGUCUGUGUUUUCUGUUGAUUAUCUAAGUCAUUAAAAAAAUUGAAGAAGUUGAAUUCUCUUAACCGUCUCUUCUACAUCUUAAUUUCAUGUUUCUAAAGUAUUCAUUUUGUGAUGGUUUCAUCUCUUGACAGAGAAAAAGAAGAAGUGAAAAUGGGAGCCCCAAAGCAUAAGUGGACAUUGAAAGAAGAAGAAGAAGAAGCUCUUAUGGCUGGAGUGCUCAAACAUGGAACUGGAAAAUGGCUUUACAUACUCGCACGACUCUGAGUACUACUUCUCUCCUGACCCCAACCCCAACAUCCACACUUCCCAUACCCCUAGCAACCACAUCCACACCUCGUUUUUUGCUGAUAACCACAUCAACAAAUCCCAUGUCCACAAUAGCACCAUCCACUCCUCGCAAGUCCCAAACAACCACAUCCAUAGACGCUUUGUCCACAAUACCCGAAUAAGGCGCACAUAGUGAUCUCAGCUGUCUUGAUCAAGUUACUUCUUAGCUGUUGAUUAACAAUCUCUUUUACCUCAUGCUCACUUUUGUAAUGUAUGUACUAAAACUUUCUCUUGUAGCCUCAACCGGCUUUUGCUAGGCGCAAACAUUCUUAGACUUUUUUGAAAUCAGCCUAAUUAUGUGUCCA